GCAGCAGACUCCCGAUCAUCUCACAGUUACGUCUCUGGUUUGCAUUAAUAUAUUCUUUAUUCUGAGCUUUAACUUGAUUACUAAAAUUCAUCUCCCAGCGUAACGGAAGGAAGCUCCGACUAUACAUCUCCGACGGAAGCUUCUACUAUAAAUCUAUGAGUUCUCUCACUGCUUUUUUCUCUGAUAAAUUUCUUUUUUUGGUUGCUCCUGCUGAUUCGUUUUCUCUAACUAAAACUGAGCGGCCUUAUAUGAUUCUAUAUCUACGAUGAGGAUGAAUUUGAUGACCCCAAGAAAAUAUGAAACAAACGAUGAUCUUUAUUGACUACCUCAAUCUUUAUUUUUUUUUUUUUUUUAGUUUUUCCUAUUUGAAAACUCUGUCUGUGAUUUGAAUACCGUAAAUCUUACUCUGCAAUUUGUUUUUAAUUUCUCCUUCCAACAGAGAUCUAGCUCAUCGUUCCUUUAUGAACUUCAAGAGGCUGUGCUCCUAACGCUGAGUUGCACGUUUGUCAGUGUUCGACAACGUCUUUGCAAAAUUCAUCUUAAAAAGACGUUAAACAUAUAAUAAUCACACAACAUUCAUCGAUUGACAUUUUUAUAUGAUGGUUGGUCCGGAAACGUUGUCUGCUUUAGGAAGAAUGUGACAUCCGUAUACUUACAAUUACUUACAUACUUUCUGCCGAUGAGAAGUUGUCAUCCGCUGAAUUUGCUUUAAGACUUCUUACAAGAUAUAUACUUUCUUUUUCUCCUUUUCUAUAGUGUGUGGAUUUUUCAUAUCUGGCUCUGAAAUUGUUACCCAUGAUUGCCAUUAGGUUGUGUGUGGCUUAGUCAGCAUGUAGCGGCGGCAAAUGCAAUAGUCUUUGGGUUUGAAUCAUGUAACCUUAUGGAUGAUCAUCAUACCUCUGUAUCUGUUAUUGUUACAACAUGGUCUUUGUUAUUGGAUUAGUGUAAAUAUCAAGGUCAACUUCUUUGGUUAUGGAGGUUUGAUCAAGAACAAUCUGAUGAUUUGUUACUAGCCAAAGACUCUUCCAUUUGCUGCCGCUUCAUCUUCUAUACAGCUCCUCGCCAAUCCGUUAUGCUAAGUAAAAGAAUUGGGGAGAGAUGAGUCGUGCGCAUACCAAAACUGUAAAGAAAUCUUCAUGUAAGGUUAUUGAUAAGUACAACUCUAGGACGAGUCUUGACUUCCAAACAAGACCUUGCAAGAAGAUUGAUGGAAUCUCCGCCUACUUGAUGAAACGUAUCCUAAAGGGAUCAGUCUGUGGAAUCUCAUUCAAGCUACAAGAAUAAUAGCGAGUGAGGCGAUUGGUCUUUCUCCCGCCAAGUCAACCAUAAAAAUGUAUAAGACACGAGCCAUGGCACCACAUAGCAAUGAGUUUGGUAGACCUGGAUGAAGAUUCUAAUGUUUAAGCCACAGGCCACACACAGGAUCCAGCGAUAUUUCUGUCUACAUAUUUAACCUGAUAAAGCAUCAGUGCUAAAGCACCAAGUUCACCUGUAAGAGAGGUGGUGAGGCGCCAAUCAUGAGCAAGAAGAGGGUUCGAAGCAAAUAUUUAUUCUACUGAGCAUCUACAUCUUAACACAUACACAUGUUAGUGUUUGUAUUGGCAAGGAACAAAGUUGUUACAUGAACAAUGUUAUAAACAAAGGUUAAAAAAAUUUGAUAAACAAAAUUUAGAAGAACAAAAAAAAAAGAGAGAUUUUGUUUGCGAUAUUUGUACAUACAGAUACUGUAAAAAAUAAAUUUUACAGAUUUUCCUUUUCUUUC